AAAUAAAAUCAAAAGUUGAAAUUAACAAUUGACAACAAAUUUCCUUUUAUGACCCUAGUUAUAAAUUAUUGGUACAUGUGAAGUAGUGGACAACCGUUCUCAGUAAAUUUACAAUUUAUUAUGAUGAUCAUUAAGAAUACGAAAUAAUGUAACAAUUAUUUAAUGUAACAAACCUUAGUGUAUCCCAGCACGUCAAAGUAACACAGAUAAUUUAAUAUAUAAAGCUCACGAUAUAAUGAGGAAGACAAUUAAAAAAAAUUCGGAGCCAACAGCAGCUGCCUGCCUUCUGGAUGAUCUGGCUGGACUACAAAAGCAACGAAUUGUUCCGUUCCCCCCAAAAACGCACACACAAACCUUUUGGCCGAAGAAGGAAGGCAAGGAUUGAAGUUGAGAGCAAUGCAAUUCUCAUUACAGGAAGCCAACGCACAUGCCAGCUUGUUAUCAGGCAGGCACCCUUACGUAUCUAUCUUUAACAGAGAAGGGUAUCCUCCUCCUCCUCCUAUUUAUUGUUACACGACGGUUGUUUAUUCGUGUUUAAUGUUUUCUGGUCAAACAGCAUAAGGACUGAGUCAUGCAUAAACAGCAAAUAACAAUGUGUCAUUCUCUGAUGUUGAGGUGCUGCAUAUAAUAAUGUGCUAAAUGUUAGUGGUGUGAAAUUCACACUGUGAAUAAGCUCACCGAUGAGACGAUCAUACCACCUCUGCUGCAUUGUUGUUUUACGAUAAAAGGAAGGAGCAAAUGAGAUCCGGGCAGUAAAAGUGGAGGUAAAGUGAUACGAUUUCGAGUCUUUUGGAUUUCUUGAAUAAACUAAAAGUAUUUAUGGA